rnacentral:tRNA from 1 species
GCCUUCAUAGUGUAGUGGUCAGCACGCUCGAUGCGUAACCAAGAGGUAAAGGGUUCGAUUCCCGGCGAAGGCG